GAUGAACGCUGGCGGCGUGCCUAAUACAUGCAAGUCGAGCGAACGGACGAAAAGCUUGCUUCUCUGAUGUUAGCGGCGGACGGGUGAGUAACACGUGGAUAACCUACCUAUAAGACUGGGAUAACUUCGGGAAACCGGAGCUAAUACCGGAUAAUAUUUUGAACCGCAUGGUUCAAAAGUGAAAGACGGUCUUGCUGUCACUUAUAGAUGGAUCCGCGCUGCAUUAGCUAGUUGGUAAGGUAACGGCUUACCAAGGCAACGAUGCAUAGCCGACCUGAGAGGGUGAUCGGCCACACUGGAACUGAGACACGGUCCAGACUCCUACGGGAGGCAGCAGUAGGGAAUCUUCCGCAAUGGGCGAAAGCCUGACGGAGCAACGCCGCGUGAGUGAUGAAGGUCUUCGGAUCGUAAACCUCUGUUAUUAGGGAAGAACAUAUGUGUAAGUAACUGUGCACAUCCUGACGGUACCUAAUCAGAAAGCCACGGCUAACUACGUG
rnacentral:rRNA from 1 species